GCGGGGAAACGGCUACAGCUGUUGCGGGGCGGGGCGGCCCUCCCGGCCCGGGCGGAAGCAGUGCUCAGCCCGGAAGUGCCCGGCGAAGCUGCGCAGGCGGCGGCGGGGCCUAGAUAAACAAGAGUGGCGCAGCUGUGGCGCUUUUUUCAGAAGAGAAAAUCAUGGAAGGAAGAACAUCAUCUUCAAGUCAUGUCAGUUUUCGUAUACCAAAGAAGAAAACCAAGUCAGAGGAUAUCCAAGUUCAGUCGCCUCUGGCAAGGCUUCCAGGCUCCCACCGUUGGGACUACCCUUUAAAAGAGUGGAAAUCAAGUGCCAACAACAGAGAGCCUUCCACAAAAGGAAAGAGGCAAAAGGACUGUGACAGACCCAACUCUAAUGAUGAAGAAUCAGUUGGGCAACCCAAAGUUAUCUUGACGAAUGUCUUAUGGACAAAAACAGGAAGAAAAUACACACAGAUGCAACCUAAAACUGGUGCUAAUUUUUCUGAUGCUGGCAAGCUGCAGUCAGAUCAACCACCUUCAUCAUCUGCUGCCAGCCUAAAGAUACAGCAAAUUUUAAACCCUGCUCUCCAAAGCCUUUUUCUGUCUCAAAGGCAACCCACAGUUACUUUGACAAAUGUCCUGAGGACAAAAAUUGGAAGAAAAUACAUAGACAGCCAUGUGAUAAUUGAUGCAGAUUUAUCUGAUGCUGACAAGUUGCAAUCGGGUCAACUACCAUCAUCAUCUGCUGCCAGCCUACAAACAUGUCAAAUAUUAAGUCCUCCUCGUGAAAGUUCCUUUCUGUCUGAAAGGUCUGAGCGCUGCCUGAGGAAGACAGAUGAUGAUCUGUGUAAAUUGACCAAGGCUUCUAAGGAACCAGAAAAAAAAAAAGCCUUCACUUUUAGAAGACGGGAGCUUCAGAAGAAAGAAAACAAGAACUAUGAUGAACUGGAGAAGAGGAGCAGAAACAUGAACGGCACCACUCUUAGUCAGAAGGAAUCUGGCUCUUUUGAUUCUGAGAAAAGGAAAAGAAGAUGUAGUGGCUAUAUUUCUGAUGAUUGUAAUGCCCACAUUCCAGAAAAAUCACUUCUGCUGUCUAAAGAGCAAAGAUUGAGUUCAGCUCAGUCUCCUGGCUGCAGAACACCCUGUGAGGAUGAACAAAGUUGCAGAUCUAAUGCAGUUCUGGUGCUGGAUUGUAUUCCACAGCCGUUAGAAAGAGAAUAUAAAGACACUUCCACCCACAACCACUUACAGCCUUCUCACAGCUGCACAGAGGAACCUGUCUCAGAGUCUCCCACCAGAAAUUUGUCAGAGAAACAGCUUUCUGCCAGUGCUGAGGAUGUGAUUUCACCACAAGUUAGUACCAUCAAGAAAUUAAAGAUGGACACAUCACAGUACUUCAAGCUGCGGAACAAAAUCUCCACGGGUAAUCAUCGGCUUGUUUCAGUUGACCCAAUUGUCCUUUCCAGUGAUGAUGAAGAUGAACCUUCUGAACCCAAAUGCACAGAGUUGGUGCAAGAUAAUAUCACUGACAAUAAAGAAACAGAUGAACAGGCUGACUGUUUCUCAGCAAAGAGAUUGGAAGACAACAUGGAAAGUCAUACACAGCAGGUAGUUCUAACAGAGUCAAUUGAAAAUAAAUGUCCUAUCACCUUACCUUCUGGAAGCACACCCAGAAAACAGGUGAACCCAACAUUGGAUGUGGAAUUUGAUAAUCUAUACAUCAGGAAAUUUAAAUGGUUAUCAACAGGUCCUGCUAGGUUUACAACCAAGUAUAUUACAAUCCCAUUUCAGGUGGCUCUUAAUAAGAAUAUUAAGCUGACAGUGGAUACUCUGGAUCUGAGAAGGUUUGGCUUGUGGAGAAAUGAUAGUGGUUGUUCUUCAACAACGAUCAUUUUCCUUUGGUUGUCUGUGGAUUAUGUGGAAAAGAUUGAAACCCAAUUAGGAAAGUUAGUUAUCAACAAGCCAUCCAAAUCUAGUGAAUUUGUGUUUCUUGAACUGUCACAACCACUCACAGAAUGUGAUGAAGAUAAACUGACUGAAUUGAUUACAUAUGUGAGCAAGAAGAACAGAGCACCAGAUCUCCCUGAUUUUUUAUCUUUGAAGCAAGCAUUACCCUUGUUUAAGGAUCUUUCUCCUGAAGAGAGCUCUUUCAUGAGUUACAGUAAGGAUCUACUAAAGCAAUAUUUGCCAAAAGAGAAUACCUCAGGUGCUCAUGAGCCUGCAGUUCAGGAAUCAAAACCAAAAGUGGCAAGGCCCAGUUAUGCCCUUGCAAAUAAGCAGAACAGUGGUUGCUAUUGUAUCUCUCUGUCUUCUGCACUGAAUGAAGAAUGGAAAGAAGUAAGAGAAACCGGAGCAGUUAAGAAUUUAAUUGUUUAUCCAGCCCCACCUGCAAAAGGAGGACUGGGAGUCACAAGAGAAGACCUAGAGUGCUUAGAAUAUGGAGAGUUUCUCAAUGAUGUCAUCAUUGAUUUCUAUCUUAAGUACCUGUUGCUGGAGAAGGUGCCAAAACAUCUUGCUGAUCGUACCCACAUUUUUAGUAGUUUCUUCUAUAAGUGCCUGACCAGGACAGAAAAAAACUCUGAGGGGGAUCUCAAAGUUUCACAAGCACAGAAAAGACACAGGAGAGUAAAAACGUGGACUCGUCGUAUAAACAUCUUCAGUAAAGACUACAUCUUUGUGCCUGUGAACGAGGAGUCUCAUUGGUACGUUGCAGUUAUCUGUUUUCCUUGGUUAGAAGAACCUGUGUAUGAGGAGUGUCCUCAUCAGAAUUCAUUAUAUCACCAGCCUCAACAGUCUCCACUUCAGUCAGAGUGUGAGAUGACUAGAACUGGUUCAGUGUUGGCCUUUCCUGGUAACCGCAAGGAUGAAGAAAUAAUGGAUGCUAACAGAAGUUUAUUCUCAAAAGCUCUCAAAUACUGGAAGGGACAUACAAAAUCAGUGGCUCAAAUCCCGUAAUGAAUGGAAAGUUCUUGGAUUUCAGUAAGAAUUUUACCACAAGGGAAGGCCCUCAUGAAUGAUUAGAAUGGAAACAAAAUUAGUUUAGACUUCACUGUUGUAUUUUGAAUACUAAUAAUAAUGAAUUUGAAAAUUAAAAUAUUUCAGUUAGAAAAUAUAUUUUAAGACUUUUUAAUUUAUUUUCUACUAGGUGGCAAUGAAGGUGCUGCUUCUGCUUCAGACCUGGAUUCAGGUAUUUCUAAAAUCUCCCUAAGUAAUUCCAAAAGGCAGAUUUGCAAAAGGCCUUGUAUACUCAUCUUAGAUUCUUUGAAAGCUGGUUCUGUGCAGAAAACAGUUCAGGUUUUGAGAGAGUACCUUGAAGUAGAAUGGGAAGCUAAACGAAAAACGCAUCGAGAAUUCAAUAAAUCAACAAUGAUUGACCUGUAUCCCAGAGUGCCUAAACAAAAUAACAGCAGUGAUUGCGGGGUCUAUUUGCUGCAAUAUGUGGAAAGUUUCUUGCAGAAUCCUAUAGUUAACUUUGAACAGCCACUGCAUCUGGAGGACUGGUUCCCUCGUCAGCUGAUCAGAAGCAAAAGAGAAGAAAUUCGAGACCUCAUCUUGCAACUACACUUUCAACAGCAUAGCGGCAGCAGCAGCUAAUCUAAUAAACUGACCUGGCAAAGAACAUUACCAUAUAAAGUAACUGGAACUCUGCAUAGCACCACAAGAAGUAUUUUGUUUGUUCAUUGUGUUUAGCCUGGAGAAAAGGAGCCUGAGGGGGAGACCUUAUCGCUGUCUACAACUACCUGACAGGAGAUUGUAGCAUGGAGACUGUUAAUAUAUUCUCCCAAGUAGCAAGUGGUUGAACAAGAGGAAAUGGCCUCAAGUUGCAACAGGGAAGGUUCGGGUUGGAUAUUAGGAAAAAAUUCUUCACGGAAAGGGUUGUCAGGCACUGGAACAGGCUGCCCAGGGAAGUGGUGGAGUCACCAUCUCUGGAGGUGUUUAAAAGGAGUUCAGAUGAGAUUCUUACAGACAUAGUUCAGUGCUAGAGUUAGGUUAGGUUAUGGUUGGACUCCAUGAUCCUGAGGGUCUCUUCCAACUGAAAUGAUUCUAUGAUUCUAUUUAUUUAAAGAAUUUUUUUCAUUUGGAUUGUGCGGUCGUAGAAUGCAGUUGUGGUGCAGAAAGGAGAAGGUUGUAAAUAAAAGUGUAAAUAGGUAAGUUAAAGCUAAUACAUAUGGACUGCUAAUGAAUUCUUUACUUGGCAUAUGAAAGCUGUGUACACUAUGUGCCACAAGGAUGUAAAAAUAUUUUAAUCUUCUGGACCAUGUUCUUUACAAUCCUAUAUGUACAUGGAUUAUCAUGUAGGAGUCAGGCCUGAAGACAGGAUUUUGACCCUAUGCUGUGCCUCUUUUGAUUUAGCAGCUUAUGUGAGUAGAAUGAAUACUGUGUAUUCAAGGCCAAGCUGGAUGGGGGUUUGAGCACCCUAGUCUAGUGGAAGGUGUGUCUGCCCAAGACAGGGAGGUUGGAACUAGAUGAUCUUUAAGGUUCCUUCCAACCAAAACCAUUCUGUUGUUUUAAUUUAAGAAUAUAAGAUUGACUCUUGUUAGAGAUGUAUUUUUUGUUUUGUUUCUGAUUAUACAUAGAAGUAGUCUGCAUGUGUCAGAAAACUCUGCCAAGAUUUGAGGUUACUGAGAUUGAGGAUGUUUUUGUUUUGUUUUCUCCUCACUAGAUUUUUUCAUCAUAAAAAUUUACUUCCAUGACUGGAAGACAUUUGCUUGAGAGUGACCACUGAAAUGUUUUAAAGUCAAGAGUGGAUUUUUUUUCAAGUAUUUUUAUGUGGUGUGUUUUUUGUUUUUUUCUUUCCUUACUAGAAUUUAGAAGAAAUCUUACUUUCGGAGUACAUACCAAUGUAAUAUAUGUAGGUAUUAGAUUUUUAAUCCUAUUCACCUUAUUUUGAGGAAUUAUUCCUGUAAAUCUCACGGCAUCACCUGCAUCAGAAAGGCAAGCAGGUUGUUGCUUAACAACCUCAAAAGUUUGAGGUGUUUUACUGAAAAAUAAGGCCAUUUUCAUUCAAAAGGGUUGUCAAGUUAUAUAUAAUAUGUAUUUAAGAUAUGUAAUUUACAUUGCUCAGGAGAAUUCAGUAAAGACGCCUGAUUAUUUGAGCGUUUGAACUCGCACUUGAUUUGAUAAACUAGCACAAGUUUAUUGUUGCCGUAAUAUGUAUUUAUGUAGUUUUUUCUCAGUGAUCACAUAAAACUUUAAUAAUGUUUUGACAUGUAUGCACUGUUUUCUGUAGUUACUGCACAGUAGGAGGUGACUGUUUUAAAGAGGAUGCUUUCUCCUGUUCCCUGCUGUAAGUAAACAAGUGUCAUCACACCCUUCAGAAGGACUGUGUGUCAGAUAACCACAAAAAUCACCUGCGUCAUAAAUGCAUCUACAAAACCAGAGCUCUUAAAGCUGGAAUUAGGCUAGAGGGUUAAAAUAAAAAUUGAGGGCAGCCCAAAGAUUUGAACAUUUUUCUGGCACUGCAGAAUUCUCAGAGCCCCUUCCUUCAAGACAAGUCUGAAACCUAGCAUUUGGAAAAUACAGUUAUUUCAUCAGGUUCUGUGCAGUCAUCCAAAAAACCCUCACCAUUGUUUCUCAAACCAGGAAGCAUUCUAUCUGGAGAAGAGAGGCGAUUUUAAACCAAAAUAACUUUCUGAGAGCAGUUACCUUCUGUAUAGCUGUGAGCAGCCUAGUGCAAUCAUUGUGUGUUUUUUGUCUUUGUUGCUACAUUAAUUCUGUAGUUUGUCACUACCCUCCCACCAACACCUGCCCCCUCAUGCCAGAGGUUUUGAGGCUUUCAUCAUCUAAAUCACAACAUCAACAUUACUUACAGGCAUAAUCUGUAUAUUUCUUGUAAAACAGAUGAAAGAUAAAAUGCAGGAAUGUGUGCCCUUUCUCUGCACCUUUUUCAUUGAUUAAUAUUUUUGGUGUUCCCUUAAGAACAAUAAUUUGGUCUUUUUCUUAUGGUUAAGUUAGUUUUUAUCAUAAAGUAAUUUGUUAUUUUCUAGUGACUGGUUUAUAGAUAUUUAAAAGCAAAAGUCAUGUAUAAACUUUUCUAAAUUGGUUUUAUAACAUUAAAGGAUUGCCUUUGUAAAUUUGUUAGGUAUGUGGUAUGAGAAUGCCAAUACAUUUGAUAUUAAAAUUAUCUCCAGAAGUUGCUGAA